rnacentral:rRNA from 1 species
ACGCACGCUGGCGGCGCGCCUAACACAUGCCAGUCGAACGGAGCUGAGAGAAGCUUGCUUUUCUUAGCUUAGUGGCGAACGGGUGAGUAACGCGUGAGUAACCUGCCCUGGAGUGGGGGACAACAGUUGGAAACGACUGCUAAUACCGCAUAAGCCCACGAUCCGGCAUCGGAUUGAGGGAAAAGGAUUUAUUCGCUUCAGGAUGGACUCGCGUCCAAUUAGCUAGUUGGUGAGGUAACGGCCCACCAAGGCGACGAUUGGUAGCCGGACUGAGAGGUUGAACGGCCACAUUGGGACUGAGACACGGCCCAGACUCCUACGGGAGGCAGCAGUGGGGGAUAUUGCACAAUGGGGGAAACCCUGAUGCAGCGACGCCGCGUGGAGGAAGAAGGUUUUCGGAUUGUAAACUCCUGUCGUUAGGGACGAUAAUGACGGUACCUAACAAGAAAGCACCGGCUAACUACGUG